rnacentral:rRNA from 1 species
UAGUCCACGCCGUAAACGAUGGUUACUAGCUGUUCGGAUUUCGGUCUGAGUGGCUAAGCGAAAGUGAUAAGUAACCCACCUGGGGAGUACGUUCGCAAGAAUGAAACUCAAAGGAAUUGACGGGGGCCCGCACAAGCGGUGGAGCAUGUGGUUUAAUUCGAUGAUACGCGAGGAACCUUACCAGGGCUUAAAUGUAGAUUGACAGGACUAGAGAUAGUUUUUUCUUCGGACAAUUUACAAGGUGCUGCAUGGUUGUCGUCAGCUCGUGCCGUGAGGUGUCAGGUUAAGUCCUAUAACGAGCGCAACCCCUGUUGUUAGUUACCAGCAUGUAAAGAUGGGAACUCUAGCAAGACUGCCGGUGCAAACCGCGAGGAAGGUGGGGAUGACGUCAAAUCAUCACGGCCCUUACGUCCUGGGGCCACACACGUGCUACAAUGGUAGGGGACAGAGAGCAGCCACUUAGUGAUAAGGAGCGAAUCUAUAAACCCUAUCUCAGUUCGGGAUCGGGAGUCUGCAAC